rnacentral:lncRNA from 1 species
CAAUGUUUGAUUUAUCACGACCCCGAAUGAUAGUUCAAGUGGUAGGAGCUAGAGUUUGGUGAGGGAGGUCCAGGGAUCAAUCCUUGAAUGAUGCAAUUUUUGUUCUCUAGAUUUAUAUCCCAUUGGAUUUUUCCUAUGAAGGUUUUAAUGAGACUCGGUCUCUAAAUUUGUCAUGCCAAGGGAAGGGGUAAGGCUCUUUAACCUAGAUUUGGCCUAUCGUGUUACCUCUUUGUCUAUAAAUAAAAUUCUAUCUUUUGUCAAAAUAAAAAAACAUAGUUAUCUUAUAUACUAGGAUUGUACCCCUAUGCACGGAGAAACGAUUCUAUAAUUUGUUUAUAUCCCACUGCAUUUUUCCUAUGAAGGUUUUAAUGAGGCUCGGUCUCUAAAUUUGCCCUGCCAAGGGAAGGGGUAAGGCUCUUUAACCUGGAUUUGGCCUAUCGUGUUA